rnacentral:antisense_RNA from 1 species
CGUACUCAAACAGGACGGACAGGAUGGUGGCACCGGGGUUGGUAACCACGCGCACUUCACCAAUGGUGGAGUCGUAGACCCCAUGGAACCGCAGCCAGAUGACAAACAGCAGGGCUGCGUAACCUAAGGUGAGGAGGUGGUGACCGAGGAUGUUCCCCAGUUUGGCCGCGUCAUCCCA